CCUUGCCCUAUUUAAGAGCUGACUACCUUUGGAGAAGGAUCUCUUCUGGUGAUCCUCUCUGGUGGAGUUUUGUAAGUGGGCCUGGGAUGUGGCUCAGCCUGACAUAGACUGCGCUUUAUUUCCUGAUAAGAGCAGGGCUUGGCUUCUGAGCCUUCUUGACCAACUU